rnacentral:rRNA from 1 species
UACGUAGGGUCCGAGCGUUUGUCCGGAAUUAUUGGGCGUAAAGGGCUCGUAGGCGGUUUGUCGCGUCUGCUGUGAAAACUCGGGGCUUAACCCCGGGCCUGCAGUGGGUACGGGCAGACUAGAGUGUGGUAGGGGAGACUGGAAUUCCUGGUGUAGCGGUGAAAUGCGCAGAUAUCAGGAGGAACACCGAUGGCGAAGGCAGGUCUCUGGGCCACUACUGACGCUGAGAAGCGAAAGCAUGGGGGAGCGAACAGG